GUGCUGACUUCGGCAACGCAUAUACUAAAAUUGGAACGAUACAGAGAUUAUCAUGGCCCCUGUGCAAGGAUGAUACACAAAUUCAUGAAGUGUUCCAUAUUUUU